rnacentral:rRNA from 1 species
CCCCGGGCUUAACCUGGGAACUGCAUUUGGAACUGGAAGGCUAGAGUGUAGCAGAGGGGGGUAGAAUUCCACGUGUAGCAGUGAAAUGCGUAGAGAUGUGGAGGAAUACCGAUGGCGAAGGCAGCCCCCUGGGCUAACACUGACGCUCAUGCACGAAAGCGUGGGGAGCAAACAGGAUUAGGUACCCUGGUAGUCCACGCCCUAAACGAUGUCAACUAGGUGUUGGGGAAGGAGACUUCUUUAGUACCGCAGCUAACGCGUGAAGUUGACCGCCUGGGGAGUACGGUCGCAAGAUUAAAACUCAAAGGAAUUGACGGGGACCCGCACAAGCGGUGGAUUAUGUGGAUUAAUUCGAUGCAACGCGAAAAACCUUACCUACCCUUGACAUGUCAGGAAGUUUCCAGAGAUGGAUUCGUGCCCGAAAGGGAACCUGAACACAGGUGCUGCAUGGCUGUCGUCAGCUCGUGUCGUGAGAUGUUGGGUUAAGUCCCGCAACGAGCGCAACCCUUGCCAAUAAUUGCCAUCAUUCAGUUGGGCACUUUAUUGGGACUGCCGGUGAUAAACCGGAGGAAGGUGGGGAUGACGUCAAGUCCUCAUGGCCCUUAUGGGUAGGGCUUCACACGUAAUACAAUGGUCGGUACAGAGGGUUGCCAACCCGCGAGGGGGAGCUAAUCUCAGAAAGCCGAUCGUAGUCCGGAUUGUUCUCUGCAA